UGCAGGAGUCAGAUGCAGUGAGGAAGAGGAUGAAGAGGCUCGCAGAACCAUCAUCUGCUUCUUUAGACACAUUGCGCCCUGCCCUGUUCACCGCUGGGAUUUCUGACAGAAUCUUGCCAAGCUCGCAUGUGUGUGACAGAGAGAAGCACUUCGAGUGUCUACAGAGAGGGAAUUGAGGAAGAAAAGAGAGAAAAAAGUCAAAGUAUUGCACCCACUGUCCUUUUAAGAGCGAUAGAUGUGUGUGUGGCCAGAGAAUGGGAUGACCUGCUCUCUCCAGCUAUGAGCACCUCACCCACCCACCCAUCCCAUGAUGCAGUGCAACCUACCACUAACCGUCCCGAGCAGUUCCUUGGCAUCUGACCCCGC
rnacentral:lncRNA from 1 species